rnacentral:lncRNA from 1 species
CGGGUAACAAACUUACACUUGGGGAAACGUAUCAAAUAUAAGAGGAGAACAACGACACAACAGAAACUCAACAUUAAAAUUUAACACACACAGAAACUAUAAUAUAACAAUGGCCAUUUUCCUGACUUGCUGCAGGACAUUUUAAGAAAAAAAAAUGAUGGGUUGAGCCUGGUUUUGUGGCAUGCCAAAUCUCUUGAUUUUAUG